CCUACGGGAGGCAGCAGUGGGGAAUCUUGCGCAAUGGGCGAAAGCCUGACGCAGCCAUGCCGCGUGAAUGAUGAAGGUCUUAGGAUUGUAAAAUUCUUUCACCGAGGACGAUAAUGACGGUACUCGGAGAAGAAGCCCCGGCUAACUUCGUGCCAGCAGCCGCGGUAAUACGAAGGGGGCUAGCGUUGCUCGGAAUUACUGGGCGUAAAGGGAGCGUAGGCGGAUAGUUUAGUCAGAGGUGAAAGCCCAGGGCUCAACCUUGGAAUUGCCUUUGAUACUGGCUAUCUUGAGUACGGAAGAGGUAUGUGGAACUCCGAGUGUAGAGGUGAAAUUCGUAGAUAUUCGGAAGAACACCAGUGGCGAAGGCGACAUACUGGUCCGUUACUGACGCUGAGGCUCGAAAGCGUGGGGAGCAAACAGGAUUAGAUACCCUGGUAGUCCACGCUGUAAACGAUGAGUGCUAGUUGUCGGCAUGCAUGCAUGUCGGUGACGCAGCUAACGCAUUAAGCACUCCGCCUGGGGAGUACGGUCGCAAGAUUAAAACUCAAGGAAUUGACGG
rnacentral:rRNA from 1 species